rnacentral:rRNA from 1 species
GGGAAAUCUUACCGGGUCCGGACACACUGAGGAUUGACAGGCAAUUAUUGUAUAUUUUUAUAUAUUUUUAUAUAUAUAUUAUUAUGCAACAACAAAUUAUGCUAGUCCUUUCAUGAUUAUGUGAUAGGUGGUGCAUGGCCGUUCUUAGUUCGUGGAGUGAUCUGUCUGCUUAAUUGCGUUUCAUCUGGAUCAUAUAAUAAUAUGUACUUUUUAUUAUUACUUUAUAUUAUAUAUUUAUUUAUGUAUAUAUCGUAAUUUUAAUACUUAAGGUACUCGUGUCCUGAAAGCAACGA